rnacentral:rRNA from 1 species
CCCUUAGACGUUCUGGGCCGCACGCGCGCUACACUGACCAGUGCAACAAGCAUCCGUCCUUGGCCGACAGGCCCGGGCAAUCUUUGAACGCUGGUCGUGAUGGGGAUAGACUUUUGCAAUUUUUGGUCUUCAACGAGGAAUUCCUAGUAAACGCAAGUCAUCAACUUGCAUUGAUUACGUCCCUGCCCUUUGUACACACCGCCCGUCACACCUACCGAUUGAAUGGUCCGGUGAAGCCUCCGGAUUGGCGCGCACCUCGGUGCCGCCGAGAAGUUGGCUAAACCUUACCAUUUAGAGGAAGGUGAAGUCGUANCA